GCAUAUCAAUAAGCGGAGGAAAAGAAACCAACAGGGAUUGCCCCAGUAACGGCGAGUGAAGCGGCAAUAGCUCAAAUUUGAAAUCUGGCCCUUUCAGGGUCCGAGUUGUAAUUUGCAGAGGGCGCUUUGGAGUUGGCUGCAGCCUAAGUUCCUUGGAACAGGUCAUCAUAGAGGGUGAGAAUCCCGUAUGUGGUUGCAUGCCUUCGCCGUGUAAAGCCCCUUCGAUGAGUCGAGUUGUUUGGGAAUGCAGCUCUAAAUGGGAGGUAAAUUUCUUCUAAAGCUAAAUAUUGGCCAGAGACCGAUAGCGCACAAGUAGAGUGAUCGAAAGAUGAAAAGCACUUUGGAAAGAGAGUCAAAAAGCACGUGAAAUUGUUGAAAGGGAAGCGCUUGCAGCCAGACGUGCCCGCAGUUGCUCAUCCGGGGUUCUCCCCGGUGCACUCUUCUGUGGGCAGGCCAGCAUCAGUUCGGGCGGUUGGAGAAAGACCUGUGUCAUGUAGCUGUUCUCGGGCAGUGUUAUAGGGCAGGUGGAAUGCAACCAGCUCGAACUGAGGUCCGCGCAUCUGCUAGGAUGCUGGCGUAAUGGCUGUAAGCGGCCCGUCUUGAAACACGGACCAAGGAGUCUAACAUCUAUGCGAGUGUUUGGGUGUCAAGCCCGAGCGCGUAAUGAAAGUGAACGGAGGUGGGAACCCUUCGGGGUGCACCAUCGACCGAUCCUGAUGUCUUCGGAUGGAUUUGAGUAAGAGCAUAGCUGUUGGGACCCGAAAGAUGGUGAACUAUGCCUGAAUAGGGUGAAGCCAGAGGAAACUCUGGUGGAGGCUCGCAGCGGUUCUGACGUGCAAAUCGAUCGUCAAAUUUGGGCAUAGGGGCGAAAGACUAAUCGAACUAUCUAGUAGCUGGUUCCUGCCGAAG
rnacentral:rRNA from 1 species